GAUUAACACUGGCGGCGUGCAUAACACAUUCAAGUCGAACGGUGAAGGGACUUCGGUCCCGGAUCAGUGGCGGACGGGUGAGUAACGCGUGAGCAACCUGCCCUUGUGUGGGGGAUAACGUUUGGAAACGGACGCUAAUACCGCAUAACCAGGUAGUACCGCAUGGUACAGCCUGCAAAGAUUUAUUGCACAAGGAUGGGCUGGCGUCUGAUUAGGUAGUUGGUGGGGUAACGGCCUACCAAGCCGACGAUCAGUAGCCGGACUGAGAGGUUGAACGGCCACAUUGGAACUGAGAUACGGUCCAGACUCCUACGGGAGGCAGCAGUGGGGAAUAUUGGGCAAUGGGGGAAACCCUGACCCAGCGACGCCGCGUGAGGGAAGAAGGUCUUCGGAUUGUAAACCUUAAACAACAGGGACGAAGAAAGUGACGGUACCUGUUAGGAAGCCACGGCUAACUACGUGCCAGCCGCCGCCGUAAGAC
rnacentral:rRNA from 1 species